GAAAUGCGAUAACUAGUGUGAAUUGCAGAAUUCCGUGAAUCAUCGAGUCUUUGAACGCACAUUGCGCCCCCUGGUAUUCCGGGGGGCAUGCCUGUCCGGGCGUCAUUACUGCCCAUCAAGCACGGCUUGUGUGUUGGGUCGUCGUCCCCUCUCCGGGGGGGACGGGCCCCAAAGGCAGCGGCGGCACCGCGUCCGAUCCUCGAGCGUAUGGGGCUUUGUCACCCGCUCUGUAGGCCCGGCCGGCGCUUGCCGAACGCAAAUCAAUCUUUUUCCAGGUUGACCUCGGAUCAGGUAGGGAUACCCGCUGAACUUAAGC
rnacentral:misc_RNA from 1 species